UGGGGAAUCUUCCGCAAUGGACGAAAGUCUGACGGAGCAACGCCGCGUGAGUGAAGAAGGUUUUCGGAUCGUAAAACUCUGUCUUUUGGGGCGAACGUGAGUAUGGUGAACAAUCAUAGUCAGUGACGGUACCAAAGGAGGAAGCCACGGCUAACUACGUGCCAGCAGCCGCGGUAAUACGUAGGUGGCAAGCGUUGUCCGGAAUUAUUGGGCGUAAAGAGCGCGUAGGCGGGAUAGUCAGUCUGUUGUAAAAGUGCGGGGCUCAACCCCGUGAUCGCAAUGGAAACAGCUAUUCUUGAGUGCAGGAGAGGAAAGUGGAAUUCCCAGUGUAGCGGUGAAAUGCGUAGAUAUUGGGAGGAACACCAGUGGCGAAGGCGACUUUCUGGACUGUGUCUGACGCUGAGGCGCGAAAGCCAGGGGAGCGAACGGGAUUAGAUACCCCGGUAGUCCUGGCCGUAAACGAUGGGUACUAGGUGUGGGAGGUAUCGACCCCUUCCGUGCCGGAGUUAACGCAAUAAGUACCCCGCCUGGGGAGUACGGUCGCAAGACUGAAACUCAAAUGAAUUGACGGGGUCAUAGCUGUUUCCUG
rnacentral:rRNA from 1 species